GACGGAGGAUGCAAGCGUUAUCCGGAAUGAUUGGGCGUAAAGCGUCCGCAGGUGGCAGUUCAAGUCUGCUGUCAAAGACCGGGGCUUAACUUCGGAAAGGCAGUGGAAACUGAACAGCUAGAGUAUGGUAGGGGCAGAGGGAAUUCCUGGUGUAGCGGUGAAAUGCGUAGAGAUCAGGAAGAACAUCGGUGGCGAAGGCGACUUCCUGGCCUAAUACUGACACUGAGGCGCGAAAGCGUGGGGAGCAAACAGG
rnacentral:rRNA from 1 species